UGAGGUGCGAAAGCGUGGGUAGCAAACAGGAUUAGAUACCCUGGUAGUCCACGCCGUAAAACGAUGUCGACCAGCCCGUUGGGUGCCUAGCGCACUUUGUGGCGAAGUUAACGCGAUAAGUCGACCGCCUGGGGAGUACGGCCGCAAGGUUAAAACUCAAAUGAAUUGACGGGGGCCCGCACAAGCGGUGGAGCAUGUGGUUUAAUUCGAUGCAACGCGAAGAACCUUACCUACUCUUGACAUCCUGCGAACUUGUGAGAGAUCACUUGGUGCCUUCGGGAACGCAGAGACAGGUGCUGCAUGGCUGUCGUCAGCUCGUGUUGUGAAAUGUUGGGUUAAGUCCCGUAACGAGCGCAACCCUUCUCUUUAUUUGCCAGCGCGUAAUGGCGGGAACUCUAAGGAGACUGCCGGUGACAAACCGGAGGAAGGUGGGGACGACGUCAAGUCAUCAUGGCCCUUACGAGUAGGGCUACACACGUGCUACAAUGGCCGGUACAAAGGGUUGCGAGCUCCCGAGCCUCAGCUAAUCCCGAAAAGCCGGUCUCAGUCCGGAUCGGAGUCUGCAACUCGACUCCGUGAAGUCGGAAUCGCUAGUAAUCGUGAAUCAGAAUGUCACGGUGAAUACGUUCCCGGGCCUUGUACACACCGCCCGUCACACCAUGGGAGUGGACUGCACCAGAAGUGGUAGCUA
rnacentral:rRNA from 1 species